rnacentral:rRNA from 1 species
AUGGGGUGACUGCGUACCUUUUGUAUAAUGGGUCAGCGACUUAUAUUCUGUAGCAAGGUUAACCGAAUAGGGGAGCCGUAGGGAAACCGAGUCUUAACUGGGCGAAUGAGUUGCAGGGUAUAGACCCGAAACCCGGUGAUCUAUCCAUGGGCAGGUUGAAGGUUGGGUAACACUAACUGGAGGACCGAACCGACUAAUGUUGAAAAAUUAGCGGAUGACUUGUGGAUGGGGGUGAAAGGCCAAUCAAACCGGGAGAUAGCUGGUUCUCCCCGAAAGCUAUUUAGGUAGCGCCUCGUGAACUCAUCUUCGGGGGUAGAGCACUGUUUCGACUAGGGGGUCAUCCCGACUUACCAACUCGAUGCAAACUGCGAAUACCGAAGAAUGUUAUCACGGGAGACACACGGCGGGUGCUAACGUCCGUCGUGAAGAGGGAAACAACCCAGACCGCCAGCUAAGGUCCCAAAGUCAUGGUUAAGUGGGAAACGAAGUGGGAAGGCUCAGACAGCCAGGAUGUUGGCUUAGAAGCAGCCAUCAUUUAAAGAAAGCGUAAUAGCUCACUGGUCGAGUCGGCCCGCGCGGAAGAUGUAACGGGGCUAAACCAUGCACCGAAGCUGCGGCAGCGACACUUAGGUGUUGUUGGGUAGGGGAGCGUUCUGUAAGCCUGCGAAGGUGUACUGUGAGGUAUGCUGGAGGUAUCAGAAGUGCGAAUGCUGACAUAAGUAACGAUAAUGCGGGUGAAAAACCCGCACGCCGGAAGACCAAGGGUUCCUGUCCAACGUUAAUCGGGGCAGGGUGAGUCGACCCCUAAGGCGAGGCUGAAAAGCGUAGUCGAUGGGAAACGGGUUAAUAUUCCCGUACUGGUGGUAACUGCGAUGGGGGAACGGAGAAGGCUAGGUUGUCCGGGCGACGGUCGUCCCGGUUCAAGCAUGUAGGCAGAGUGAUUAGGCAAAUCCGGUCACUUAAUGCUGAGGUGUGAUGACGAGCCACUAAGGUGGUGAAGCAAUUGAUGCCCUGCUUCCAGGAAAAGCCUCUAAGCUUCAGGUUACCAACAAUCGUACCCCAAACCGACACAGGUGGUCAGGUAGAGAAUACUCAGGCGCUUGAGAGAACUCGGGUGAAGGAACUAGGCAAAAUGGUGCCGUAACUUCGGGAGAAGGCACGCUGGCGGUAAGUGAAGUCCCUUGCGGACGGAGCCGAAGCCAGUCGAAGAUACCAGCUGGCUGCAACUGUUUAUUAAAAACACAGCACUGUGCAAACACGAAAGUGGACGUAUACGGUGUGACGCCUGCCCGGUGCUGGAAGGUUAAUUGAUGGGGUUAUCCUUAGGGAGAAGCUCUUGAUCGAAGCCCCAGUAAACGGCGGCCGUAACUAUAACGGUCCUAAGGUAGCGAAAUUCCUUGUCGGGUAAGUUCCGACCUGCACGAAUGGCGUAAUGAUGGCCAGGCUGUCUCCACCCGAGACUCAGUGAAAUUGAACUCGCUGUGAAGAUGCAGUGUACCCGCGGCAAGACGGAAAGACCCCGUGAACCUUUACUAUAGCUUGACACUGAACAUUGAGCCUUGAUGUGUAGGAUAGGUGGGAGACUAAGAAGUGUGGACGCCAGUCUGCAUGGAGUCAACCUUGAAAUACCACCCUUUAACGUUUGAUGUUCUAACCUAGGCCCGUAAUCCGGGUCGGGGACCGUGUCUGGUGGGUAGUUUGACUGGGGCGGUCUCCUCCUAAAGAGUAACGGAGGAGCACGAAGGUUGGCUAAGCAUGGUCGGACAUCAUGCGGUUAGUGCAAAGGCAUAAGCCAGCUUGACUGUGAGAGUGACGGCUCGAGCAGGUACGAAAGUAGGUCUUAGUGAUCCGGUGGUUCUGAAUGGAAGGGCCAUCGCUCAACGGAUAAAAGGUACUCCGGGGAUAACAGGCUGAUACCGCCCAAGAGUUCAUAUCGACGGCGGUGUUUGGCACCUCGAUGUCGGCUCAUCACAUCCUGGGGCUGAAGUAGGUCCCAAGGGUAUGGCUGUUCGCCAUUUAAAGUGGUACGCGAGCUGGGUUUAGAACGUCGUGAGACAGUUCGGUCCCUAUCUGCCGUGGGCGUUGGAAGAUUGAGAGGGGUUGCUCCUAGUACGAGAGGACCGGAGUGAACGCACCACUGGUGUUCGGGUUGUCAUGCCAAUGGCAUUGCCCGGUAGCUAAGUGCGGAAGAGAUAACCGCUGAAAGCAUCUAAGCGGGAAACUUGCCUCGAGAUGAGUCUUCCCUGUCACCUAGAGUGACCUAAAGGAACGUUUAAGACUAAGACGUUGAUAGGCUGGGUGUGUAAGCGUAGCGAUACGUUGAGCUAACCAGUACUAAUGAACCGUGAGGCUUAACCUG